rnacentral:rRNA from 1 species
AGCGAACGCUGGCGGCAGGCUUAACACAUGCAAGUCGAGCGCUCGUAGCAAUACGAGAGCGGCAGACGGGAGAGUAACACGUGGGAACGUACCCUUUGGUUCGGAACAACACAGGGAAACUUGUGCUAAUACCGAAUAAGCCCUUACGGGGAAAGAUUUAUCGCCAAAGGAUCGGCCCGCGUCUGAUUAGCUAGUUGGUGGGGUAAUGGCCCACCAAGGCGACGAUCAGUAGCUGGUCUGAGAGGAUGACCAGCCUCAUUGGGACUGAGACACGGCCCAAACUCCUACGGGAGGCAGCAGUGGGAAUAUUGGACAAUGGGCGCAAGCCUGAUCCAGCCAUGCCGCGUGGAUGAUGAAGGCCUUAGGGUUGUAAAGCUCUCUUGUGCGGGAAGAUAAUGACGGUACCG